rnacentral:rRNA from 1 species
GACGAACGCUGGCGGCGUGCUUAACACAUGCAAGUCGAGCGGUAAGGCCCUUUCGGGGGUACACGAGCGGCGAACGGGUGAGUAACACGUGGGUGACCUGCCCUCAGCUCUGGGAUAAGCCUGGGAAACCGGGUCUAAUACUGGAUAUGACUCCAUGACGCAUGUUGUGGGGUGGAAAGCCUUGUGCGGCUGAGGAUGGGCCCGCGGCCUAUCAGCUUGUUGGUGGGGUGAUGGCCUACCAAGGCGACGACGGGUAGCCGGCCUGAGAGGGCGACCGGCCACACUGGGACUGAGACACGGCCCAGACUCCUACGGGAGGCAGCAGUGGGGAAUAUUGGACAAUGGGGGCAACCCUGAUCCAGCGACGCCGCGUGUGUGAAGAAGGCCUGCGGGUUGUAAAGCACUUUUAGUGGGGAUGAAAAGCACCGGGCUAAUACCCAGGUGUCUUGACCUAACCUACAGAAAAGCACCGGCUAACUCUGUGCCAGCCCGCCG